GACGUAGGGCGCGAGCGUUGUCCGGAUUUAUUGGGCGUAAAGAGCUCGUAGGUGGUUUGUCGCGUUGUCCGUGAAAACUCACAACUCAAUUGUGGGCGUGCGGGCGAUACGGGCAGACUGGAGUACUGCAGGGGAGACUGGAAUUCCUGGUGUAGCGGUGGAAUGCGCAGAUAUCAGGAGGAACACCGGUGGCGAAGGCGGGUCUCUGGGCAGUAACUGACGCUGAGGAGCGAAAGCGUGGGGAGCGAACAGG
rnacentral:rRNA from 1 species